CCUACGGGAGGCAGCAGUAGGGAAUCUUCCGCAAUGGACGCAAGUCUGACGGAGCAACGCCGCGUGUGUGAAGAAGGUUUUCGGAUCGUAAAGCUCUGUUGUUAAGGAAGAAUGUUCGGGGUAGUAACUGGCCAUGAAGUGACGGUACUUAACCAGAAAGCCACGGCUAACUACGUGCCAGCAGCCGCGGUAAUA
rnacentral:rRNA from 1 species